rnacentral:rRNA from 1 species
GAUGAACGCUGGCGGCGUGCCUAAUACAUGCAAGUAGAACGCUGAAGGAGGAGCUUGCUCUUCUGGAUGAGUUGCGAACGGGUGAGUAACGCGUAGGUAACCUGCCUGGUAGCGGGGGAUAACUAUUGGAAACGAUAGCUAAUACCGCAUGACAACAGUUAUUGCAUGAUAACUGUUUAAAAGGGGCAACUGCUCCACUACCAGAUGGACCUGCGUUGUAUUAGCUAGUUGGUGAGGUAACGGCUCACCAAGGCGACGAUACAUAGCCGGCCUGGUAGGGGGGUCGGCCACACUGGGACUGAGGAAAGGCCCAGGCUCCCACCGGGGGGAGCAGGAGGGAAUCUUCGGCAAUGGACGGAAGGCUGAACGGGCAACGCCGGGGGAGUGAAGAAGGUUUUCGGAUCGUUAAGACCUGGUGUAAGGGAAGAACGAGUGUGGGAGUGGAAAGUUCACGCUGUGACGGUAUCUUACCAGAAAGGGACGGCUAACUACGUG